AUUGAACGCUGGCGGCAGGCCUAACACAUGCAAGUCGAACGGUAACAGGAAGACGCUUGCUUCUUUGCUGACGAGUGGCGGACGGGUGAGUAAUGUCUGGGAAACUGCCUGAUGGAGGGGGAUAACUACUGGAAACGGUAGCUAAUACCGCAUAACGUCGCAAGACCAAAGAGGGGGACCUUCGGGCCUCUUGCCAUCGGAUGUGCCCAGAUGGGAUUAGCUAGUAGGUGGGGUAACGGCUCACCUAGGCGACGAUCCCUAGCUGGUCUGAGAGGAUGACCAGCCACACUGGAACUGAGACACGGUCCAGACUCCUACGGGAGGCAGCAGUGGGGAAUAUUGCACAAUGGGCGAAAGCCUGAUGCAGCCAUGCCGCGUGUAUGAAGAAGGCCUUCGGGUUGUAAAGUACUUUCAGCGGGGAGGAAGGGAGUAAAGUUAAUACCUUUGCUCAUUGACGUUACCCGCAGAAGAAGCACCGGCUAACUCCGUG
rnacentral:rRNA from 1 species